GGACUACUAGGGUAUCUAAUCCCGUUCGCUACCCUAGCUUUCGCGCCUCAGCGUCAGAAGAGGUCCAGCCUGUCGCUUUCGCCACCGGCGUUCCUUCCGAUAUCAACGCAUUUCACCGCUCCACCGGAAGUUCCACAAGCCCCUGCCUCCCUCAAGCCCGCCAGUAUCAAAGGCACUUUUCCGGUUAAGCCGAAAGAUUUCACCCCUGACUUGGCGAGCCGCCUACGCGCCCUUUAAGCCCAGUGAUUCCGAACAACGUUCGCACGGUUCGUCUUACCGCGGCGGCUGGCAC
rnacentral:rRNA from 1 species